UGCAGUCGAGCGGACAGAUGGGAGCUUGCUCCCUGAUGUUAGCGGCGGACGGGUGAGUAACACGUGGGUAACCUGCCUGUAAGACUGGGAUAACUCCGGGAAACCGGGGCUAAUACCGGAUGCUUGUUUGAACCGCAUGGUUCAAACAUAAAAGGUGGCUUCGGCUACCACUUACAGAUGGACCCGCGGCGCAUUAGCUAGUUGGUGAGGUAACGGCUCACCAAGGCAACGAUGCGUAGCCGACCUGAGAGGGUGAUCGGCCACACUGGGACUGAGACACGGCCCAGACUCCUACGGGAGGCAGCAGUAGGGAAUCUUCCGCAAUGGACGAAAGUCUGACGGAGCAACGCCGCGUGAGUGAUGAAGGUUUUCGGAUCGUAAAGCUCUGUUGUUAGGGAAGAACAAGUACCGUUCGAAUAGGGCGGUACCUUGACGGUACCUAACCAGAAAGCCACGGCUAACUACGUGCCAGCAGCCGCGGUAAUACGUAGGUGGCAAGCGUUGUCCGGAAUUAUUGGGCGUAAAGGGCUCGCAGGCGGUUUCUUAAGUCUGAUGUGAAAGCCCCCGGCUCAACCGGGGAGGGUCAUUGGAAACUGGGGAACUUGAGUGCAGAAGAGGAGAGUGGAAUUCCACGUGUAGCGGUGAAAUGCGUAGAGAUGUGGAGGAACACCAGUGGCGAAGGCGACUCUCUGGUCUGUAACUGACGCUGAGGAGCGAAAGCGUGGGGAGCGAACAGGAUUAGAUACCCUGGUAGUCCACGCCGUAAACGAUGAGUGCUAAGUGUUAGGGGGUUUCCGCCCCUUAGUGCUGCAGCUAACGCAUUAAGCACUCCGCCUGGGGAGUACGGUCGCAAGACUGAAACUCAAAGGAAUUGACGGGGGCCCGCACAAGCGGUGGAGCAUGUGGUUUAAUUCGAAGCAACGCGAAGAACCUUACCAGGUCUUGACAUCCUCUGACAAUCCUAGAGAUAGGACGUCCCCUUCGGGGGCAGAUUGACAGGUGGUGCAUGGUUGUCGUCAGCUCGUGUCGUGAGAUGUUGGGUUAAGUCCCGCAACGAGCGCAACCCUUGAUCUUAGUUGCCAGCAUUCAGUUGGGCACUCUAAGGUGACUGCCGGUGACAAACCGGAAGAAGGUGGGGAUGACGUCAAAUCAUCAUGCCCCUUAUGACCUGGGCUAA
rnacentral:rRNA from 1 species